rnacentral:rRNA from 1 species
CAAGUCGAACGCGAAAGCCCCGCAAGGGGUAAGUAGAGUGGCAAACGGGUGAGUAACACGUGGGUGACCUGCCUUCGAGUGGGGGAUAACGUCCCGAAAGGGACGCUAAUACCGCAUGACAUCCUGCGUUUGGAAACGCGGAGAUCAAAGCCGGGGAUCGCAAGACCUGGCGCUUGAAGAGGGGCCCGCGCCUGAUUAGCUAGUUGGUGGGGUAACGGCCUACCAAGGCGACGAUCAGUAUCCGGCCUGAGAGGGCGGACGGACACACUGGGACUGAGACACGGCCCAGACUCCUACGGGAGGCAGCAGUGGGGAAUUGUUCGCAAUGGGCGCAAGCCUGACGACGUAACGCCGCGUGGAGGACGAAGAUCUUCGGGUCGUAAACUCCUGUCGAGCGGGAAGAACGCUUCCCGGGUGAAUAAUCCGGGGAAUUGACGGUACCGCUAAAGGAAGCCCCGGCUAACUCCGUGCCAGCAGCCGCGGUAAUACGGGGGGGGCAAGCGUUGUUCGGAAUUACUGGGCGUAAAGGGCCAGUAGGCGGCCAACUAAGUCGGAUGUGAAAUCCCCAGGCUUAACCUGGGAACUGCAUCCGAUACUGGAUGGCUUGAAUUCGGGAGAGGGAUGCAGAAUUCCAGGUGUAGCGGUGAAAUGCGUAGAUAUCUGGAGGAAUACCGGUGGCGAAGGCGGCAUCCUGGACCGACAUUGACGCUGAACGGCGAAAGCUAGGGGAGCAAACGGGAUUAGAUACCCCGG